rnacentral:misc_RNA from 1 species
UAUGAAAAAGCACAAUUGCAGAUAUGACUAAAUUUUCAAUCUUGUUUCCUACAUUGGCUUCCAUUAACAAGACCAAGUAGCAUUCAUCAUGAACUGUGAAUGAGUACUAUGUGGAAAAAUAUAAUUGCAGACAUGAUUAAAUUGCCUUCUCUACUGAAAACUUGAGGUUGGCUACUUCUCAUAUGUCUUUUUGUACUCAUGUUCUGAAUAUCUCAAACUGAAUAAUUUUGGUAGCUCUGUUCUUGCCAUAUAAUGAGGUUUGCUUUAUUUUUAUUAAUUAUUCAUGAUUCAGCAUUCAGGAACCUAAAUUGUAUUACUUGACAGCAUCCCUACAGGCAUUAUAGAUACUGUACCUUCUAGUACCUUCCUCUGACAGAAUGGGGAAAAAGACGUUUCCUUUAUUUCAGGUCAUCCUUGAUGUUGUAUCUUACAACACGAAUUAUUCAUUUUAAAUAGUACAGUAUCAUUUAACUCUCGACUAACUUGACAAUAGAGCCACAGUACAUGUAGAUCUUAUUUUUCUAAGAGCCUCUUUCCUUUAUAUGUUUCUUUGGUUUUCUUUAUCACCCUUUUAAGUUAUUUUCAUUCUCCUGAUGUCUCUUUUGAAAUUUAACGUGUUAACUUAUUGUUAAUAUCAGCAAUAAAUUGGGCUGAUAAAUUGUAUUCUGAAAAUAGAUCCGUAGAUCUCUAGGAUCAUAAUUUGAGUUGAAAUUUAUUAGUAUCACCUGGGAAUGUGGAAGGUAUAAUAAAAAUGGAAUACUGUGAUCUUCAUACUUCCUCGACACAUAUAUGUAUGUUAUAUUUAUGCAUUUCAUGUACCUGUGGAUGUAUAUACCUUUUGAUGAUGAUUUUGUAAAUUUUAUCGCUGGUUGGCAGCUUUUGUACUGCAAUCUUCCGUGCAUAAUAUUUGGUUUUCACAGGAAACAUUGCAUAUGCAUAAUG